AUGAGAACGUAGCGAAAUGCGAUAAGUAAUGUGAAUUGCAGAAUCCAGUGAAUCAUCGAAUCUUUGAACGCACAUUGCGCCCGCCAGCAUUCUGGCGGGCAUGCCUGUUCGAGCGUCAUUUCAACCCUCGACCUCCCCUUGGGGAGGUCGGCGUUGGGGACCGGCAGCACACCGCCGGCCCUGAAAUGGAGUGGCGGCCCGUCUGCGGCGACCUCUGCGUAGUAAUACAGCUCGCACCGGAACCCCGACGCGGCCACGCCGUAAAACACCCAACUUCUGAACGUUGACCUUGAAUCAGGUAGGACUACCCGCUGAACUUAAGCAUAUCAAUAAGCGGAGGA
rnacentral:misc_RNA from 1 species